UGCGUAAUGCAUACAAACAUU
rnacentral:piRNA from 1 species